UACAGAGGUCUCAAGCGUUUGUUCGGAUUCAUUGGGGCGUAAAAGGGUGCGUAGGCGGCGCGGUAAGUCGGGUGUGAAAUCUUGGAGCUUAACUCCGAAACUGCAUUCGAUACUGCCGUGCUUGAGGACUGGAGAGGAGACUGGAAUUUACGGUGUAGCGGUGAAAUGCGUAGAUAUCGUAAGGAAGACCAGUGGCGAAGGCGGGUCUCUGGACAGUUCCUGACGCUGAGGCACGAAGGCCAGGGGGAGCAAACGGG
rnacentral:rRNA from 1 species